ensembl:lncRNA
CGGAACUGUGAGAGCACAGAAGAAACAGCUAACUGCCCAGAAUGUGUGUGUAGACCUGAGAGUUAGGACAACUGCCUGGAAAGGACAUACAGAAUGGAUUAAAGAGAAAAAGACAAAGGAAAAGGUUAAAGUUUUCCCCAAAGCACCUGUAUCUUGAAUCUCACAGUCAAAACUAAGGAGAAUCACAGUGAUAUGGAAGGUAAACAAAAGAAAUCCAGCCAAGAUAAUAUAGGUGACAGAAAGAGGCUGAUUCAAUUUUCCACAAAACGGCCACCUCUAAAUUAAAUGUAGCCUGGGAACUGUCCUGCUAUGUUCUGAUGGUGUAGAUUGAUGAAUUUUGGAAGUUGAAUAGUCAUGUAACCUCCAUCAAAACAAGAACUAUGAAAAUCCAACUAUCUCCAGCACAAGGGGAAAGCUACAAAAGUGAAGGACUCACUUUAGGUCUUACCACCUAUAUGGCCAGGUUCCUAACUUACCCAUUUUGACAAGGAAAAUCUUAAGUAUUCUCUCUCCUAGGAAUAACGUUAAUACUCUGAAGAGUAUGGCUGGUGGUGAGAAAGCUUCAUUAAAAGGAGCCAAGAGAAGGCAUCAGACAGGAUUCCACCAGGCUCCCAUCAGCACCUCUGCGUAAUCUCCUUGCAUCUCCGCUGUUGCCAUGGACAGAGCAUCUUGCCUCAUCUUAUUGGAUAUGGUCUUUCAAGAAUCACCUUCUUCAGCAUCAAUAAUCAUUGAAAUAAAUGUAUAGAAAUUAACACACGUGCUAUGCAAAGUGGAGAAGGAAAUGGCAACCCACUCCAGUGUUCUUGCCUGGAGAAUCCCAGGGACGGGGGAGCCUGGUGGGCUGCCGCCUCUGGGGUCACACAGAGUCGGACACAACUGAAGCGACUGAGCAGCAGCAGCAGCUAUGGAAAGAAAAAGAGCCAUGAUAGAAAUAACAGGCAGGGUGGCCAGAACACCAUAUGAAAGGUGGUGGCACUAAAUUAAGCUGGAGAUGUAGACAGAGAGCCAAUGGCAGAGAGCUUUGCAUGGCAUGGUUAAGAAGAUCGAUUUUCUCCUCACUGUAGUGAGGAACCACUGCUGCAAGUGGCAUGGGCCAGUUUCCAUGGAAAGAGAUAAUUACAACAAUAUGGCCAGGUCUAUAAUUCAGCAGAAUAUUGUGAGGACACAGAGGAAAGGUGGCAGCUCUGUAAGUGGGGUUAGGAAGGCCUUAGAGAAAACAGCUGAUCUGACAAGUAAAGGAUCAAGUGGGAGUUCUCCUCAAAGAUGGCUAGCACUUAAAUAUAUUCUUUGCCUUUUCACACCAUGAAGGUGCUGUACUCACUGUAUAAACUCAUACUACACAAGCUUCCUUGGGCUGAAAUUCAGAUUUUUAUUUUGCUCAUGUACUUAAAGA